UAACGACUCUCGGCAACGGAUAUCUCGGCUCUCGCAUCGAUGAAGAACGUAGCGAACUGCGAUACUUGGUGUGAAUUGCAGAAUCCCGUGAACCAUCGAGUCUUUGAACGCAAGUUGCGCCCGAAUCCUUUGGACGAGGGCACGUUUGCCUGGGUGUCA
rnacentral:rRNA from 2 species